rnacentral:rRNA from 1 species
GACGAACGCUGGCGGCGUGCCUAAUACAUGCAAGUCGAACGCUUCUUUCCUCCCGAGUGCUUGCACCCAAUUGGAAAGAGGGGUGGCGGACGGGUGAGUAACACGUGGGUAACCUACCCAUCAGAGGGGGAUAACACCUGGCAACAGGUGCUAAUACCGCCUAACAGUUUAUGCCGCAUGGCAUAAGAGUGAAAGGCGCUUUCGGGUGUCGCUGAUGGUUGGACCCGCGGUGCAUUAGCUAGUUGGUGAGGUAACGGCUCACCAAGGCGACGAUGCAUAGCCGACCUGAGAGGGUGAUCGGCCACACUGGGACUGAGACACGGCCCAGACUCCUACGGGAGGCAGCAGUAGGGAAUCUUCGGCAAUGGACGAAAGUCUGACCGAGCAACGCCGCGUGAGUGAAGAAGGUUUUCGGAUCGUAAAACUCUGUUGUUAGGGAAGAACAAGGACGUUAGUAACUGAACGUCCCCUGACGGUAUCUAAACAGAAAGCCACGGCUAACUACGUG